rnacentral:tRNA from 1 species
GGCGCACUGGGCGGGCUGUUCAGCUAGAACCGUCGGCGGCUGUUCGGCCGACCCUGUCGCGGCCUCGACCGCUCAGAGCGGAUGCGCGCCC